GGGGAUGAUCGGUUUCGACGGUGAUUGAUUCACCAGGAGAAGCGGGCCGAGGAUGCGCAGUUAUCUCGUUAACGCUCUGUGCAAACCAAUUAGGUGCCGACUCUAAGAGCACCGACUUCGCUCUCGCCGCCUAAGGCGUAGUAGCAGUCCGUCAGACCAGGGAUGCUUUCGACCUGGAUCCUGGCGUCGCCUAGAAAGCCACUGCUUUCGAUCCAUGUCACGGGGAUCGGAGGGACUCUUACGUGACUGAGCCUGUUCACCACUCUGUCUGCGGAAUAGGGUGAAGGCUGAGAAAAGCCACCUCGCAGAAUGCGCCCGGAGAAGACCUGGUUUUCCGUCAUCGGACGCGGGUUCGAUUCCCGCCAUCUCCACUA
rnacentral:tmRNA from 1 species